GAUGAACGCUGGCGGCGUGCCUAAUACAUGCAAGUCGAGCGAACGGACGAGAAGCUUUCUUCUCUGAUGUUAGCGGCGGACGGGUGAGUAACACGUGGAUAACCUACCUAUAAGACUGGGGUAACUUCGGGAAACCGGAGCUAAUAGCGGAUGAUAUUUUGAACUGCAUGGUUCAAAAGUGAAAGACGGUAGUGCUGUGACUUAUAGAUGGAUCCGCGCUGCCUUAGCUAGUUGGUAAGGUAACGGCUUACCAAGGCAACGAUGCAUAGCCGACCUGAAAGCGUCAUCGGCCACACUGGAACUGAGACACGGUCCAGACUCCUACGGGAGGCAGCAGUAGGGAAUCUUCCGCAAUGCGCGAAAGCCUGACGGAGCAACGCCGCGUGAGUGCUGAAGGUCUUCGGCUCGUAAAACUCUGUUAUUAGGGAAGAACAUAUGUGUAAGCAACUGUGCACAUCUUGACGGUACCUAAUCAGAAAGCCACGGCUAACUACGUG
rnacentral:rRNA from 1 species